rnacentral:lncRNA from 1 species
AGGAGCCCCAGCCCUGGGAUUCCCAGCUGUUUCUGCUUGCUGAUCAGGACUGCACACAGAGAACUCACCAUGGAGUUUGGGCUGAGCUGGGUUUUCCUUGUUGCUAUUUUAAAAGGUGUCCAGUGUGAGGUGCAGCUGUUGGAGUCUGGGGGAGGCUUAGUUCAGCCUGGGGGGUCCCUGAGACUCUCCUGUGCAGCCUCUGGAUUCACCUUCAGUAGCUACUGGAUGCACUGGGUCCGCCAAGCUCCAGGGAAGGGGCUGGAGUGGGUCUCACGUAUUAAUAGUGAUGGGAGUAGCACAAGCUAUGCGGACUCCGUGAAGGGCCGAUUCACCAUCUCCAGAGACAACGCCAAGAACACGCUGUAUCUGCAAAUGAACAGUCUGAGAGCCGAGGACACGGCUG